rnacentral:piRNA from 1 species
CACCUGGUGUACUUCAUAAGCCUCCGCGG